UGGCGGGGCGCGGGCGGCAGCCGUUCCCGCUGGGCUGCUCGCGCCUUGCCGGCCGCUGUUACGCAAUGGAAAUUGCGAAAGCCCCGCCCGCCCUCCGAGCCCUCUAGGGGUGAGUGCGGCGCCUCUGGCGGAUUUUUUGUCGUCUUUCCUUACCUUCAAGCACGAAUCUUUCUACGGCUGUCUUUUCUAAAGGAUAAGUGGGAUUUUUCUCUCCAUCAUGUGAAAACUGUCCAAACGAUACGAACGUUUUGCAAAUCCUUAAAGUAUAACAACUUAUUUCCAAUUUCGGUACGUCCUUGAAGCGGGGCUUUCGACUUCAGAAAGUUAAAAUGUCACUUCUUAAUUUCAGAAAAUUUUGCUGAUCAAGAUUUGGUAAUUAUGAAGAGUUCUUGCUCAUCUAGUUCUUGAUCUGGCUCAUUUUACAGUUGAGGAUACUGAAGCCCAGGGAAGUUCACUUGUCUAUGUAGCUUUUUCCCAGUAUGUAGGUUUCCUGAAUGAUUUCUACCAAAAUGUCCUUGUUUUUAUUGUUAGUGUGAGUUUAGACUGAUACAGAUACAUUUGGAAGUAAUUUACAGGUUUUGGAAGGACACUUGUAGGAUUGACUUACUAUCUGAAUUUAGCAUUGGUAACGGAAAACGACCUGUAAAACGAGAACCAAAUACGCUGGAAGCCACCUUGCAGUGAGCAAGACUGGGUUUGGCUUCAGCUGUGCAACUUGGAGCAUUUUAGCUUACUAACAUUGAUCCCCUUUUAGGUGAGUAUUGGCCUUGCAGUUUGGAUUCGCAGGAAAAAUUGUAUGUUGCUGCUAGUAAGGUAAAACCAUCAAGUGCCCCAGACCAGAACUUGAAACCAGACUCAGAAGAUGGCAUACAAUCAGAGUCCAGACUUUGAGAGGUUACAAAGGAUGUUCAAUGGAGAGGACUUGGAGAAGUUUUCUUGGGAAGGUGUCCAGGGAAUAGAAAUUUUGGGGGAAGAUACAUGCUUAAGUACUGGAAAGCGGCCCUGGGAAUUGGUAUUGUGGGUCAUUCUAGGCUUUGCAGAAGCUCUACUUUGUAGCAGGGGCAUGAACAGGCGUUUCAUCUGUAUCACCCAGAGGUGGUUUUUUAGUUUUAAAUUCUGUAUUAACGGUUGUUUUCUUUCCAGACUGCAAAAUUCAAAAUGGGGCUCAAGGUAUUCGUUUCAUCUACACCAGAGAAGGCAGACCGAGUGGCGAGGCUUUUGUUGAACUUGAAUCAGAAGAUGAAGUCAAAUUGGCCCUGAAAAAAGACAGAGAAACUAUGGGACACAGAUAUGUUGAAGUAUUCAAGUCAAACAACGUUGAAAUGGAUUGGGUGUUGAAGCAUACUGGUCCAAAUAGUCCUGACACGGCCAAUGAUGGCUUUGUACGGCUUAGAGGACUCCCCUUUGGAUGUAGCAAGGAAGAAAUUGUUCAGUUCUUCUCAGGGUUGGAAAUCGUGCCAAAUGGGAUAACAUUGCCGGUGGACUUCCAGGGGAGGAGUACGGGGGAGGCCU